AUUGAACGCUGGCGGCAGGCCUAACACAUGCAAGUCGAGCGGAGCAGCGGGCGGGUAAGUAAUGCCUAGGCAUCUGCCUGGUAGUGAGGGAUAACGUCCGGAACCGGGAGCUAAUACCGAAUACUCACAGCUGAGGCUAGGUCGGAUUGGGUAGUUGGUGGGGUAAAGGCCUAACAAGGCGACGAACCGUAACUGGUCUGAGAGGAUGAUCAGUCACACUUGAACUGAGACACGGUCCAGACUCCUACGGGAGGCAGCAGUGGGGAAUAUUGGACAAUGGGCGAAACCCUGAUCCAGCCAUGCCGCGUGAGUGAAGAAGGUCUUCGGAUUGUAAAGCACUUUAAGUUGGGAGGCGUUACCUACAGAAUAAGCACCGGCUAACUUCGUGCCAGCAGCCGCGGUAAUAC
rnacentral:rRNA from 1 species